GUAGGGAAUAUUGGGCAAUGGUCGGAAGACUGACCCAGCCAUGCCGCGUGCAGGAAGACGGCCCUCUGGGUUGUAAACUGCUUUUAUCUGGGAAGAAAAAGGCCAUGCGUGGCAAAUUGCCGGUACCAGAUGAAUAAGCACCGGCUAACUCCGUGCCAGCAGCCGCGGUAAUACGGAGGGUGCGAGCGAUGUCCGGAAUUAUUGGGUUUAAAGGGUGCGUAGGCGGCUGAUUAAGUCAGCGGUGAAAGACUUCGGCUUAACCGGAGCAGUGCCGUUGAUACUGGUUGGCUUGAGUGUCGGAGGGGUACAUGGAAUUGAUGGUGUAGCGGUGAAAUGCAUAGAUACCAUCAGGAACACCGAUAGCGAAGGCAUUGUACUGGCCGACAACUGACGCUGAUGCACGAAAGUGUGGGGAUCGAACAGGAUUAGAAACCCUGGUAGUCC
rnacentral:rRNA from 1 species